UACAGAGGUCCCAAGCGUUGUUCGGAUUCAUUGGGCGUAAAGGGUGCGUAGGCGGCGCGGUAAGUCGGGUGUGAAAUCUCGGAGCUUAACUCCGAAACUGCAUUCGAUACUGCCGUGCUUGAGGACUGGAGAGGAGACUGGAAUUCCCGGUGUAGUGGUGAAAUGCGUAGAUAUCGGGAGGAACACCAGUGGCGAAGGCGACUACCUGGCCUGUUCUUGACGCUGAGGCGCGAAAGCUAGGGGAGCAAACGGG
rnacentral:rRNA from 1 species